rnacentral:rRNA from 1 species
AGCAGUAGCCGCGGUAAUACGUAGGGUGCAAGCGUUAAUCGGAAUUACUGGGCGUAAAGCGUGCGCAGGCGGUUUGUUAAGACAGAUGUGAAAUCCCCGGGCUCAACCUGGGAACUGCAUUUGUGACUGGCAAGCUAGAGUAUGGCAGAGGGGGGUGGAAUUCCGCGUGUAGCAGUGAAAUGCGUAGAUAUGCGGAGGAACACCGAUGGCGAAGGCAGCCCCCUGGGCCAAUACUGACGCUCAUGCACGAAAGCGUGGGGAGCAAACAGGAUUAGAUACCCGCGUAGUCCCUGUCUCUUAUAC